rnacentral:rRNA from 1 species
UACGUAGGGUGCAAGCGUUAUCCGGAAUUAUUGGGCGUAAAGAGCUCGUAGGCGGUUUGUCGCGUCUGCUGUGAAAACUGGAGGCUCAACCUCCAGCCUGCAGUGGGUACGGGCAGACUAGAGUGCGGUAGGGGGAGAUUGGAAUUCCUGGUGUAGCGGUGGAAUGCGCAGAUAUCAGGAGGAACACCGAUGGCGAAGGCAGGUCACUGGGCCGCAACUGACGCUGAGGAGCGAAAGCAUGGGGAGCGAACAGG